UGAAAAAAAUGGACUUAGUGGGUCUUUGAAUUUAAAUAAAAUAAACAUGUAUAUGCAACACAAAAUAUUUAUAUUCCUUGUGUAAACAUAAUUUAAUUGAUUAGGAUUAAAAUGUUUUGUUUGAAUGUAAAAUGAACACAUUAUUCUCACAUUGAUUAAAAUUGAUUGAAUUGAAUACUUAAAGCAAUAAAAUUGGGUUUGCACACAAAAAGGCACCUCCUGAGCAGCAGGGGCAGUAUAGCUCAAUGAAAAGGACGUCAACUGCCAUAAAAGAAGAAUAAAGAUCGUUUGUUUUGGGCGCCAAAAUGAAGACUCAGCAGCAGUCAGUCAGAAGAACUCUCUCAGACGGACACCACGUUAUUAAAGUCCAUCAUCCUUGCAUGCGCUACACAGCAUUGAUAAAUGCUGAAUUUAAAAGAAUCACUACUGUCUAAUGUUCCUGCGUGUCACCUGGACCUCCAAUCCAAAAACCUGAUGAAACUCUUCUAUCAGAAAGGAUGACAGCUAGCAAAAAGGCUUCAAACAAUCAAUGAUCAAAUGACAGAUGGCAUGGAUGAAGUCAGCAUCAGUGAGGUCAUUUGAAGACACCAAUGUUGGGAUUUGUGCUCUCAAACAACAUGCUCUUGUGAUGAAGAAGAGGAUCUUUGUAUAGUCCUGGAAGCCAUGAAGGUGUUGCAACAUCGUGUUUGAGCUGAUGUAUGCCUUAAACCUGAUCUCCGCUUUAUUUUUGAGGAAAUCCAAACUGCAUUGAGAGUAACUUUAACGAACAGUUUCUUUCAGUGAAAGGAUCAGAAAGACUGUGCUGCUCACUUUUGAAGUUUUUAUCUGUUUUAAGUGUUUUCUCUUAUUAAUACAUUAACAGUUUGCUGCUCAGAGUCGAUUUUGGAAAUGGUUGUUGUAUUUUGUUUUUGUUGAAUCUUUGAUUUAACAGUUUAUAAAUGCUGUAGCUCUGACUUUCUGAAGGAGUGAUAUUUUCCAGUUUGUAAAUCCAUUUUAUAAAUAAUAGUACUUACUGUUUUGCAUGUCUCUUUGGAAUGCAGUGUUUGUGCUUUAGCACUUCUAAAUCUACUGUGAUAGUAACUAUUUUAAACAUUUGGGUCAGUUAUACAGAUGGGGCUUUUCCUAGUCCCAGACUUUUGCAAUGCCAUAUAUCAGUGCCAUUGUUUUGUCUAAAGAUGUAUUCCAGUGUUGUUUUUGUAAGGUAGGUUUGUUUGUAAACUUUAUUUUAUUAAAAAUAUCCUAAUAUAACUAGGGCCUAGUCAUGGAUUAAUCUACAACCUGUUUGGGAAAUUGUCCCUUUAUGUAUGUACUGCAUGCUGAUUGUUGUAAUAGUUAUUGACUGUUAAUGAAUUAAUGUGUAGUGAUUUAAAUGAAUUGAUGAUCUGAAAGCA